GCCGCCAUGGCGCGGGAUUGACGGAUCCAGAGUUUGAUCCUGGCUCAGAUUGAACGCUGGCGGCAGGCCUAACACAUGCAAGUCGAACGGUAACAGGAAGCAGCUUGCUSUUUGCUGACGAGUKGCGGACGGGUGAGUAAUGUCUGGGAAACUGCCUGAUGGAGAGGGAUAACUACUGGAAACGGUAGCUAAUACCGCAUAACGUCGCAAGACCAAAGAGGGGGACCUUCGGGCCUCUUGCCAUCGGAUGUGCCCAGAUGGGAUUAGCUAGUAGGUGGGGUAAAGGCUCACCUAGGCGACGAUCCCUAGCUGGUCUGAGAGGAUGACCAGCCACACUGGAACUGAGACACGGUCCAGACUCCUACGGGAGGCAGCAGUGGGGAAUAUUGCACAAUGGGCGCAAGCAUGAUGCAGCCAUGCCGCGUGUAUGAAGAAGGCCUUCGGGUUGUAAAGUACUUUCAGCKGGGAGGAAGGGAGUAAAGUUAAUACCUUUGCUCAUUGACGUUACCCGCAGAAGAAGCACCGGCUAACUCCGUGCCAGCAGCCGCGGUAAUACGGAGGGUGCAAGCGUUAAUCGGAAUUACUGGGCGUAAAGCGCACGCAGGCGGUUUGUUAAGUCAGAUGUGAAAUCCCCGGGCUCAACCUGGGAACUGCAUCUGAUACUGGCAAGCUUGAGUCUCGUAGAGGGGGGUAGAAUUCCAGGUGUAGCGGUGAAAUGCGUAGAGAUCUGGAGGAAUACCGGUGGCGAAGGCGGCCCCCUGGACGAAGACUGACGCUCAGGUGCGAAAGCGUGGGGGAGCAAACAGGAUUAGAUACCCUGGUAGUCCACGCCGUAAACGAUGUCGACUUGGAGGUUGUGCCCUUGAGGCGUGGCUUCCGGAGCUAACGCGUUAAGUCGACCGCCUGGGGAGUACGGCCGCAAGUUAAAACUCAAAUGAAUUGACGGGGGCCCGCACAAGCGGUGGAGCAUGUGGUUUGAUUCGAUGCAACGCGAAGAACCUUACCUGGUCUUGACAUCCACGGAAGUUUUCAGAGAUGAGAAUGUGCCUUCGGGGAACGU
rnacentral:rRNA from 1 species